UGCUUUAGUGCAAAUAUCUUCAACAUUUUUCUGUAAAGGUCCAGAGAGAAAAGGUCUGAGGGUGCAGGAGCCAUUCAGUCUCUGUCAUAGCUACCGGACCCUGCCCUCGUAGCAUGAAAGCAGCCAUAGCUAAUAUGGAAAUGAAUGAGACUGAUAGUAUUCCAAUAACACUUCAUAGGCACUGAAAUUUUAAUUUCAUAUAAUUUUCACAUGUGAUGAAAUACUAUUCCUCAUUUGAUCUUUUCCCACCAUUUAAAAAUGUAAAAACCAUUCUCAUGAUUUGGCCAACGGUCAUAGUCUGCCAACUGCAGCUUGAGUAGAAGAGUCCAGAGCCGAGGUCAGUAGACCUGGGGUCUCGUUCCUGCUCUGCCACUAUGUCGCUGAGGAAAGCCACAGCAUUAUCUCGGGAACCCGCUUCUUCAAUUGUAAGAUAAAGUUUUCAGCUGGGUGGCAGCUAAGAUCUUGUUCUAAAGACAAGUGAUUCUUUGUGCGUAACUCACUUGUUCGGGCACUCUUUCUGGAGGCCACAAGAACCAUCUGUUCUCAUUUUUUUCUCUCCUCUUAAUCCCUCACCUCCACCAUCAGAAGACAAACUGGAACUAGGGCAAAGGCAGCCAGGCCAGCUCAGGAAUGCUCAUGGCUCACGAUCUGCAGUGCAGGAGUUAAAAGCUUUACUCUUGCCUCGGUUAUCAUAGGAAAGACUUCUUCCUCUGCUCUCUGGAACCUCCAUCUUCUUGAGGGCAUCAGUCUUCAUUCAGAAAACCCACCUAGAAAAGACUAACCUUGGCCGGGCGUGGUGGCUCACACCUGUAAUCCUAGCACUUUGGGAGGCCAAGGCGGGCAGAUCACUUGAGAUCAGGAGUUCAAAACCAGCCUGGCCAACAUGGUAAAACCUCGUCUCUACUGAAAAUACAAAAAAUUAGCUGGGUGUGGUGGUGGAUGCCUGUAAUCCCAGCUACUUGGGAAGCUGAGACAGGAGAAUCGCUUGAACCCGGGAGGUGGAGGUUGCAGUGAGCCGAGAUCACACCAUUGCACUCCAGCCUGGGUGACAGAGUGAGACUCCAUCUCAAAAAAAAAAAAAAAAAACCAAAAAACCAAAAAACCAACAACAACAAAAAAGAAAAGACUAACCUCUAGGGGAAGCACAAAGAAUUCAGAGGCGAAUGGCCUGCUGUGGAGUGGAGAACAUAUAUCUCCUCCCAAAGGCUGGCCCUCAGCUAUGUUUUCAAGACUGAAAUGAGGCUGAUCUCCCUCCAGCACCCCAUCGUGGCUCUCUAUCCUUCCACAGCCAGGCCUCUCCCUUCAUACUCUUCUACUUUCUGUAAAAAACCUAUCCUCAUAAUAAGGACAUAAUCUCAUCAUUAAUGUCAAGAUGAAAGCAAUUGUUGAAAACUUGUAACACUAGAGAAAGCAAGAGAAACUCAGCCUUGAUAACUAUAAGAGCCAACAUUUAUUGAAUGCUAUAUUAGUUAGUUUGUGUUGCCACAAAUACCUGCAGCUGAGUAAUUUAUAAAGAAAAAGGGUUGAACUGGCUUAUGGUUCUGCAAGCUGUGCAAGAAACAUGGUGCCGACAUCUGCUUCUGGUGAGGACCUCAGGGAGCUUCCAAUCACGGCUGAAGGUGAAGAGGUAGCAGACACAUCACAUGGCAAGAAUGGGAGCCCGAGAGAGAUGAGAGAGGGGCCACGCUGUUUUAAAUAGCUAGAACUCGUGAAUUUAGAAUGAGAAUCACUCAUUACCACGAGGAGGGCACCAAGCCAUUCAUGAGGGAUCUGCCCCCAUGACCCAAACACCUCCCGGUAUGUCCCACCUCUAACACUGGGGAUCACAUUUCAAUAUGAGAUUUGGAGGGAUCAUACACCCAAACCAUGUAAGUUGCUUACUAUGUGCUAAGCUCUGUGUGCAUGUUUAUCUGUGUAUGUGCAUAUUUUUCCACCUAAAAAUUCUCAUUUUGCAGCUGAAGAAGUCAAGAUCUAAGAAAUCUAAGUAACUUGUUCAAGGUCAUCACCUAUUAAGUGGCAUGGCUGAAAUUUAAACCCAUGUGGUCUAACUCUAGGACUCCCACUUAUAUCAUACUGAAUAGUGAAAUUUGGAGAAUUAGUAAGUAGAAGAAACGUAU
rnacentral:lncRNA from 10 species